rnacentral:tRNA from 1 species
UCCAAUAUAGUUUAAUAUUAAAACAUUGCUCUUUCAAAGCAAAAAUCUUAUUAUAAGUGUUGGUA